AUUGAACGCUGGCGGCAUGCUUUACACAUGCAAGUCGAACGGCAACGAGGAGAAGCUUGCUUCUCUGUCGGCGAGUGGCGAACGGGUGAGUAUAGCAUCGGAACGUGCCAAGUAGUGGGGGAUAACCAAACGAAAGUUUGGCUAAUACCGCGUAAGCUCCAAGGAGGAAAGUAGGGGACCUAAAUAAGGCCUUACGCUAUUUGAUCGGCCGAUGUCGGAUUAGCUAGUUGGUGGGGUAAUGGCUCACCAAGGCAAUGAUCCGUAGCGGGUCUGAGAGGACGAUCCGCCACACUGGGACUGAGACACGGCCCAGACUCCUACGGGAGGCAGCAGUGGGGAAUUUUGGACAAUGGGGGAAACCCUGAUCCAGCCAUGCCGCGUGUAUGAAGAAGGCCUUAGGGUUGUAAAGUACUUUUGCUAGGGAAGAAAAGCUAGUUUUUAAUAAAAAUUAGUGAUGACGGUACCUAAAGAAUAAGCACCGGCUAACUACGU
rnacentral:rRNA from 1 species